AUGUGUAUGAAAGUCAUAUGUCCACUAAUUUAUGCGACGAUAUUGCUCCUUCCCUUUUAUUUCUGGGUCUGUUAUUUUAUAUUGAGUGGCGCGGCAGAAAUUCAUCAUGCUAUUUUUUAUAUAAAUUACUUUAUUUUAAUAAUAUCUAAGCACCAUGUUUCACUUUGGCCGAAAUCGGUGUCAACAGAAACUUAUGGUCCCUGGGUCUCUUUCUUAUUAUAUUGCAUCUCUUUUAUUUACAUCGCAUCUCGUUUACUAUUUUGCAAUCUUUACUUUUCAAUCUAUACAGCAAAAAUACCAAAAAUAUUUAUCUUAUUAUCUUUAUCAUAUCUCACUUUUGCGAGUGCUGUGAAGGGAUUGACAACCCCUUUAUCGCGUUGGUUGCAAGGUUCUUGA
rnacentral:rRNA from 1 species